AGUGUAUCCAUAGAUGUUACAUCUUUGCUGCAAGACGAGAUUAACCCUUUAAAGACUUUUACCCAGAACUUUUGGACUCUUAAGCAAGUUUUAAAUAUUUUUUUGUGCAUAAUCAAACUUAUUGUGAUAUAUAGAGUUUGAUAUAUACAUAAUACUAAUGCACAGUUAUAAGUUGUUGGUUUUCACAUUUACACUGCCAAUUGUAAGGCUAUCAUAUAUAGCGAUGACAUUCAUUUUGUCAGUAUUUGUAAUAUUGUUAAGCGAGC